AAAUAAGAAACAAAAAUGUAACUAAUUUCGACUUAGUAAAUUGAUGAUAAAAUUCAUCCUUAUUUA
rnacentral:tRNA from 1 species